CGGACGUGGUGGCACGCGGGGGGGGUAAUACGUGGGGUGAGUGGCGUGUCGGGAAUGAUUGGGCGUAAAGAGCUGGUAGGCGGUGUGUUGCGUCGGCCGUGAAAACCUGGGGCUUAACUGCGGGCUUGCGGUCGAUACGGGCAGACUUGAGUUCGGCAGGGGAGACUGGAAUUCCUGGUGUAGCGGUGAAAUGCGCAGAUAUCAGGAGGAACACCGGUGGCGAAGGCGGGUCUCUGGGCCGAUACUGACGCUGAGGAGCGAAAGCGUGGGGAGCGAACAGGAUUAGAUACCCUGGUAGUC
rnacentral:rRNA from 1 species